UACGUAGGUGGCAAGCGUUGUCCGGAUUUAUUGGGUUUAAAGGGUGCGUAGGCGGCUUAUUAAGUCGGUGGUGAAAUCCCUCAGCUCAACUGAGGAAGUGCCCUCGAUACUGCGUUGCUUGAAUGUCGGAGGGGAUGGCGGAAUUCCCGGUGUAGAGGUGAAAUUCGUAGAUAUCGGGAGGAACACCUGUGGCGAAGGCGGCCAUCUGGACGACAAUUGACGCUGAGACGCGAAAGCGUGGGUAGCAAACAGG
rnacentral:rRNA from 1 species